AUUGAACGCUGGCGGCAGGCCUAACACAUGCAAGUCGAACGAGUGGCGGACGGGUGAGUAAUAUAUCGGAACCUGCCUGAUGGCGGGGGAUAACUACUGGACACGGUAGCUAAUACCGCAUACUAUAGGAUCUGCCCAGAUGGGAUUAGCUAGUUGGUGGGGUAAAGGCUAACCAAGGCAACGAUCCCUAGCUGGUCUGAGAGGUGGACCAGCCACACUGGAACUGAGACACGGUCCAGACUCCUACGGGAGGCAGCAGUGGGGAAUAUUGGACAAUGGGCGAAAGCCUGAUGCAGCCAUGCCGCGUGUAUGAAGAAGGCCUUCGGGUUGUAAAGUACUUUCAGCAGGGAGGCGGUACCUGCAGAAGAAGCAACGGCUAACUCCGUGCCAGCAGCCGCGGUAAUUC
rnacentral:rRNA from 1 species